CCUACGGGAGGCAGCAGUGAGGAAUAUUGGUCAAUGGACGAGAGUCUGAACCAGCCAAGUAGCGUGAAGGAUGACUGCCCUAUGGGUUGUAAACUUCUUUUAUCAAGGAAUAAAACGAGGCACGUGUGCCUUUUUGCAUGUACUUUAUGAAUAAGGAUCGGCUAACUCCGUGCCAGCAGCCGCGGUAAUACGGAGGAUCCGAGCGUUAUCCGGAUUUAUUGGGUUUAAAGGGAGCGUAGAUGGGUUGUUAAGUCAGUUGUGAAAGUUUGCGGCUCAACCGUAAAAUUGCAAUUGAUACUGGCAGUCGUGAGUACAGUUGAGGUAGGCGGAAUUCGUGGUGUAGCGGUGAAAUGCUUAGAUAUCACGAAGAACCCCGAUUGCGAAGGCAGCUUACUAAACUGUGACUGACAUUGAUGCUCGAAAGUGUGGGUAUCAAACAGGAUUAGAUACCCGAGUAGUC
rnacentral:rRNA from 1 species